rnacentral:rRNA from 1 species
GACGAACGCUGGCGGCGUGCUUAACACAUGCCAGUCGAACGAUGAACCCGGAGCUUGCUCUGGGGGAUUAGUGGCGAACGGGUGAGUAACACGUGAGUAACCUGCCCUGGACUCUGGGAUAAGCGUUGGAAACGACGUCUAAUACCGGAUAGGACCUUGGAUCGCAUGAUCUGGGGUGGAAAGUUUUUUCGGUCUGGGAUGGACUCGCGGCCUAUCAGCUUGUUGGUGAGGUAAUGGCUCACCAAGGCGUCGACGGGUAGCCGGCCUGAGAGGGUGACCGGCCACACUGGGACUGAGACACGGCCCAGACUCCUACGGGAGGCAGCAGUGGGGAAUAUGGCACAAUGGGCGAAAGCCUGAUGCAGCAACGCCGCGUGCGGGAUGACGGCCUUCGGGUUGUAAACCGCUUUUAGUAGGGAAGAAGGGCUUCGGCUUGACGGUACCUGCAGAAAAAGGACCGGCUAACUACGUG